rnacentral:lncRNA from 1 species
AAUUUGGUCUUAAUCAGGCUGAGCUAAGCCAGUCUGUAUUUGAGGAGUUGGAAGCAGGUGAUUCGGGCACAAAUUUGAAGGCUGAUAAACGGCAGCCGUCACCCGUGCACUCAGAGCGGCCAGAAGUCCUGCUCCUGGGGAAGGAGGAAGGGCGCAAGGGCAAUGAGCAUGUCGCCUUGCCCUCGGGGUGUGCGGUUUCUGCUCAGCCUCCUCUUGCAGCCUUGUUUCAAGUGUGGGAAUGGCCUCCUGACUCCCAAUCCGAAACAACUGCUGAGCACAGAAGGCAGAGCAGGGCCCUGAGAGUCAGAGGAAAAUGCUGCUGCGGGGACUGGGGAGCCCCAUCGGGUGACUCCCCAGAGAUGUGAGCAGGUGCAGAGGCUGGAACAACAGUGCUGCAGGAAAGUCUCUCCCGUGGAUGCUGUGGCCUGGGGCUUGGGUGACGACGUGCACGGCUGCCUCCUCGCUGUCACGUGCUCUGCUGGCUCGUCU